rnacentral:sRNA from 2 species
UUCCCUGGCUUCGGGGAGUAGCCCAGGCCCUCCGGGCCGCCUCGCAUCAACAUACUUGGCGAUCGCCAUGGUGCGCGGGCAAGGCAAGCGCCUUGC